UCGCCUGUUUAUCAAAAACAUCGCCUCUUGCUAAAUCAAAAGUAUAAGAGGUCCCGCCUGCCCUGUGACUAUAUGUUCAACGGCCGCGGUAUUUUGACCGUGCGAAGGUAGCGCAAUCACUUGUCUUUUAAAUGGGGACCGGUAUGAAUGGCAUAACGAGGGCUUGACUGUCUCCUUUUUCAAGUCAAUGAAAUUGAUCUCCCCGUGCAGAAGCGGGGAUAAGCACAUAAGACGAGAAGACCCUAUGGAGCUUUAGACACGAAAGCAGAUCAGCAUUAAUACCCUAAACACAGGGCACGAAUAAACUGAGCCCUGCCCUAAUGUCUUAGGUUGGGGCGACCGCGGAGAAAUGAAAAACCCCCGCAAGGACCGAAUGUACCACAUUCACAACCAAGAGCGACAGCUCUAAUUAACAGAUAUUUCUGACCAAUAAGAUCCGGCAACGCCGAUCAAUGGACCAAGUUACCCUAGGGAUAACAGCGCAAUCUCCUCUUAGAGCCCGUAUCAACGAGGAGGUUUACGACCUCGAUGUUGGAUCAGGACAUCCUAAUGGUGCAGCCGCUAUUAAGGGUUCGUUUGUUCAACGAUUAAAGUCCUACGUGAUCUGAGUUCAGACCGG
rnacentral:rRNA from 1 species